GGUAAACAUCCCCGACCGG
rnacentral:miRNA from 1 species